rnacentral:rRNA from 1 species
CCUACGGGAGGCAGCAGUGAGGAAUAUUGGUCAAUGGACGAGAGUCUGAACCAGCCAAGUAGCGUGAAGGAUGACUGCCCUAUGGGUUGUAAACUUCUUUUAUAUGGGAAUAAAAUGUUCCACGUGUGGGAUUUUGUAUGUACCAUAUGAAUAAGGAUCGGCUAACUCCGUGCCAGCAGCCGCGGUAAUACGGAGGAUCCGAGCGUUAUCCGGAUUUAUUGGGUUUAAAGGGAGCAUAGGUGGAUUGUUAAGUCAGUUGUGAAAGUUUGCGGCUCAACCGUAAAAUUGCAGUUGAAACUGGCAGUCUUGAGUACAGUAGAGGUGGGCGGAAUUCGUGGUGUAGCGGUGAAAUGCUUAGAUAUCACGAAGAACUCCGAUUGCGAAGGCAGUUCACUGGACUGCAACUGACACUGAGGCUCGAAAGUGUGGGUAUCAAACAGGAUUAGAUACCCCAGUAGUC